rnacentral:rRNA from 1 species
UACGUAUGGUGCAAGCGUUAUCCGGAUUUACUGGGCGUAAAGGGAGCGCAGGCGGCCUGGCAAGCCAGAAGUGAAAACCCGGGGCUCAACCCCGCGGAUUGCUUUUGGAACUGUUGGGCUAGAGUGUCGGAGGGGUAAGUGGAAUUCCUAGUGUAGCGGUGAAAUGCGUAGAUAUUAGGAGGAACACCAGUGGCGAAGGCGGCUUACUGGACGAUAACUGACGCUGAGGCUCGAAGGCGUGGGGAGCAAA